rnacentral:rRNA from 1 species
UACGUAGGGUGCGAGCGUUAAUCGGAAUUACUGGGCGUAAAGCGUGCGCAGGCGGUUAUGUAAGACAGAUGUGAAAUCCCCGGGCUCAACCUGGGAACUGCGUUUGUGACUGCAUAACUAGAGUACGGCAGAGGGAGGUGGAAUUCCGCGUGUAGCAGUGAAAUGCGUAGAGAUGCGGAGGAACACCGAUGGCGAAGGCAGCCUCCUGGGCCAGUACUGACGCUCAUGCACGAAAGCGUGGGGAGCAAACAGGAUUAGAUACCCUGGUAGUCCACGCCCUAAACGAUGUCAACUAGUUGUUCGGUGAGGAGACUCAUUGAGUAACGCAGCUAACGCGUGAAGUUGACCGCCUGGGGAGUACGGCCGCAAGGUUA